AGUUUUCAAGAGGGUGUCUGUAGGAACUGACAGAGGCUUGAUGACAAAGAGAUCCCUUUCUAGCCUUUCCUGCAUCAGAGAUGGGUUCCCACAUGU